rnacentral:rRNA from 1 species
GAUGAACGCUGGCGGCGUGCCUAAUACAUGCAAGUCGAGCGAACAGACGAGGAGCUUGCUCCUCUGACGUUAGCGGCGGACGGGUGAGUAACACGUGGAUAACCUACCUAUAAGACUGGGAUAACUUCGGGAAACCGGAGCUAAUACCGGAUAAUAUAUUGAACCGCAUGGUUCAAUAGUGAAAGACGGUUUUGCUGUCACUUAUAGAUGGAUCCGCGCCGCAUUAGCUAGUUGGUAAGGUAACGGCUUACCAAGGUAACGAUACGUAACAGAGCUGAGAGGAAGACCACCCGAACUGGAACAGAGGAACGCUCCAGACUCAAACGGGAGGCAAAAGUAGGGAGCCUGCCGCAAUGCGGGAAAGUCACACGAAACAACGCAGCGUCAGGGAUAAAGGUCUUCGGAUCGGAAAACUCUGUAAUAAGGGAAGAACAAUUGUGUAAGUAACUAUACACGUCUUGACGGUACCUAAUCAAAAAGCCACGGCGAACUACGGG